rnacentral:rRNA from 1 species
GUGGGGAAUCUUGCGCAAUGGGCGAAAGCCUGACGCAGCCAUGCCGCGUGAAUGAUGAAGGUCUUAGGAUUGUAAAAUUCUUUCACCGGGGACGAUAAUGACGGUACCCGGAGAAGAAGCCCCGGCUAACUUCGUGCCAGCAGCCGCGGUAAUACGAAGGGGGCUAGCGUUGCUCGGAAUUACUGGGCGUAAAGGGCGCGUAGGCGGAUCGUUAUGUCAGGGGUGAAAUCCCAGAGCUCAACUCUGGAACUGCCCUUGAUACUGGCGAUCUUGAGUGUGAGAGAGGUAUGUGGAACUCCGAGUGUAGAGGUGAAAUUCGUAGAUAUUCGGAAGAACACCAGUGGCGAAGGCGACAUACUGGCCCAAUACUGACGCUGAGGCGCGAAAGCGUGGGGAGCAAACAGGAUUAGAUACCCUGGUAGUCC